rnacentral:lncRNA from 1 species
AUGUCUCAUGUAAACACUGAAGUCAUGGGAAAAUCUCAAAGCAGUGCUGAUCUUUCACAAAUGAACUGUAGGACUAAACCAUUCACAAGACCUGAUUCUCUCAACGAAGAAGAUGAAACAAUGGUGUCUGUAUUGCCAGUGGCAGCACAGCAAUCCAGGACUGGACAUGGUGUGGUUAUUAGUGAUCUGGAGGUUCUCCAUAAACACCAGAAGAUGCAUGGGCAUGCUUUUCAUUACUCACUGGAGAGGCAGCUCAGCAGCUGAGCUUAUACAGACCUUGCAGCCCUGAAGAGAAGCUCAGACACUGGACCAGGGUUUUCCAGUUUCUCAGUCCUUCUGCAGUCUGUAUAUCUGAAUUAUAUUUAUAGCACAUUGUUUCCAUUAGUGUUAUAAUUU